GAACGGUCGCCGCGUCGCCUCAGCACGGACCUCCAGGGAGCUCCUCAGCAAGAUCCUGCCAGGGCGCCCCUCAGCGCGAUUCUGCCGGGGUGCCUCUCAGCGUGGUCCUCCCCGGGGCUCCUCAGCACGAUUCUCCCGGUGCGCCCCUCAGCGCGGUCCUCCUCGGUGCGUCAGUCAUCGUGGUUCUCCCCGGCGCGCCCCUCGGCGCGGUUCUCCUCGGGGCUCCUCAGCGCGGCGCUCUUCUGGGGGCUCCUCGGCGCAGUUCUCCCCGGGGACUCCUCGGCGCCGUUCUCCUCGGGGCACCCGGGGCUUUUCGGCGCGGUUCUCCCCGGGGGUUCUUCGGCGCGGUUGUCCCCGGGGGUUCUUCGGCGCGGUUCUCUCCGGGGGCCUCUCGCCGCGGUUCUGUUCUCCCCGGGGGCUCCUCAGCAUGGUUCUCCUCCGCGCGGUCCUCCCUGGGCCUCCUCAGCGCGGCACUCUCCUGGGGGCUCCUCAGCGCGGCACUCUCCCCGGGGGCUCCUCAGCGCGGCACUCUCCCGGCGGCUCCUCAGUGCGGUUCUCCCAGACUCUCCUCAGCGCGGCCCUCCCCAUCUCUCUGGGAGGGUUUGAACACGGUCAGCACGGACCUGGGCGGACGGCGCGGGACGGGUGAUCACUGGCGUUGCUGAGGUGAGCUGUGUGCCCCGCGGCCGUCCCAGAUCACAGGCGUCAGCAGUGCAGCCUGGCCUGGGCAGUGCGCUCCCAUCUGCACCUUAUGGACAGCGUGGCCAGGGUCGAGGUCCGAGUUCCUGGCCGCGUCCCAAGGAUCGGAUUCCGGGUCUAUAGUUCUCAUGGUGGUUCAGAGUGGGCUGAAUUGGGAUUGGAGUCUGGAAUCCGCAUCGUGGUUCUGAGUCCGCGCUAUUGGGAUGGAAGUUGGGAAUCCAUGUUGUGGUUUUGAGUCAAAGCCCGAAUUGGGACCGGAGUCGGAAAUCCACUUAGUGGUUCUGAGUCAGGGCCCGAAUUAGGAUCGGAGGUGGGAAUCCCCGUUGUGGUUCUGAGUUAGGUAUCCUAGUUGGGAUCAGAAUUCGGGUCUAGGGUCCACAUCCUGGCUGGGAGUUUGCCUGAGUUGGGAUCUGAGUAGUUGGGGUCCCAGUCAGUCCGGGUCUGGAGUCCGCAUGGUGGUUUUAGGUAGGGCCUCAUUAGGGACAGAGGAUCGGGAGUCUGAGUUGGGGACCUGAAUCCCGGUCUGGAGUCUGCAUCAUGGCUCUGAGUUGAGAUCCAAGGGAGGUCCGAGUUGGCGACUGGAGUCAGGGUCUGGAGUCUGUCUUUGGGUAGAGGUUCUGAAUGGGGGGCUCUGAGUUAAGAGAUUGGGAUUGGGGUUAGAGGUCUCAGUGGGGUAUGGGAGUCAGGAAUUGAAGUCGAAGUUCUGCCUCUAGGUGGGGAUUCUGAGUCAGGAAUUAGGGGGCGAAGUAAAGGUUGCAGUCUGAGUUGGGGGUGGUGAUCACCUGCCAGGUGAGAGGUAGUGGUAGAAGUCUCUUGGUCAUAUUGGAGAUGAGAGUUGAUCAGAUGCAGGUCUCAGUCUGGGUAGUAGGCUUGAAGGGCCACCACUAUGUUCAGAUCCCAGUACCCCACUGUGGUCCCUGAGCAGGUCAAAUAGCCUUUUAUAUAAAAUUGAGAGUAAGAGUGCCUUCCCACAGCACUGUUCUGGUUAUGAAAGAGAAUAAUUCAUCCAGGUAGAAUAGUUCUGUCUUAGAUUAUCACAAAGUAUAAAAACUUUCCUGAUAAUAUCCACAUUUGAUGUGCAUUUACCAGUUCUUUCUUUACUGUGGUGCCCCUUUUGCUAGACCAAAAGCUCCCAACGAGGAACUCUGUUUUGUUUUCUGCUGCCUGCUCUGUACCCAGCCAAGAGCCUGAUACACAGCCUUACUCAGUCAGUACUUGAAGGAAAGCAGGCAGGCAGGAUUAACCAGAUUUCUAUGGUGUCUCAAAUGAUCCAUUUCUGCACCUGUUUUCCAGAUACUCAGUAGGAGAAAAAUUUAAGGAUUGAGUUGCUUGAUUAUGGGUGUAUUUUAAUGUGUUUCCUAACAUGCUGAGGAGAAAAGUGGGUCUGUUUCAGGAUUUAUGCUCCAGCUAGAGGGAUUUUUUAAAAUUGCGAAUCAGAGCAUGUCCAAAUUCAGAUAGAAAGCACAAGAAAACUAUAAAGAAUUUCCCUUAUGAAUGUAGAUGCAGAAGUUCCUUGUACAAUGCUAGCUAACUGAAUCCAAUAAUAUGUAUUAAACAACAAUUCUUAAACAAGUGGGAUUGCUCUUAGGAAUGCAAAGAUGAUCCAAUAUCAGAAACUUUAUCCAUGUAAUUCACAUUAAGAGGCUACAGGAGAAAAACCAUAUGGUUCCCUCAAUAGAGGCAGAAAAAAAUGAUGUGAUAAAGUUUAACGCCUAUGUGUGAUUUUGGGGUAGUGGAGUACACCACUUAGCAAGCCAGGACUAGAGAGGAACUUCUUCAACUUGAUACAAGUUAUAAACCAAAACUUAACUUUUCAGUAAACUUGAUAGAGAAAUUAAAAGUGUAUCAUUCUCUUUAAGAUAAGGAGUAGGCCAAGGAUGUCAUCCUGGCCAUACCCUAAUACAAGAAAAAGAAAUGGGGAUGUGAGGAUCAGGUAGGAAGUGAUAAAACUUAGUGUAGCUCAUAGGGUUGAUGGUCUCCAUAAAGAUUCUCAAACAUUUUGGUGUUACGACUUGUUGUAUUCUUAAAAGUUAUUGAAACCCCCAAAGGGCUUUUCUUGAUAGAGAUUCUAUCUGUUGAUAGUUACCAUCUUAGAAGUUAAAACUAAGAAAUGUUUAAAGCAGAACUAUACAAGCACAUAUUCCACUGGGGUCAUGGUGUGCUGCCUCUGGAAAACUCUUUAUCUUUGUGAGAAUGAAAGAAAAGGCAAAUAAUGUCGAGUAUUAUUAUGAAAAUGUUUUUGACCUUUCCUGAAAGGGUCUGGGGGGCUCUCUGGAAUCCCCAGACUACACUUUGAAAAUUACUGGGCUACAUGGAAAAAAAAAAUUAAGGAACUUAACAACUAAAGAGAGAUUUCAGAUUUCAGAGAGGUUUUGGAUAUAAGAUCAGUGUACUCAAAACAAAAAACAAAAACAAACCACAUUUCUUUAUGCCAAUAGCAACUGACUAAAAAAAAGCAUAAUAGAGAUUAGGACAGCAAUCAGAAUAGCAGCAAAAUUUAUACCAGUCUAGGAAUUAACAAAGACGACGACUUUUAUGGAAAAAAUUUUAAAACUCUAUUGGAGGAUAUAGAGGGAGAUCUUUCCAUAUGCAGAGACAUUUUAUUUUCUUGAACAGGGCAACUUGGCAUUAGAAUGACGUCAGGAUUUUCCAAAUCUGUUAAGUUCAACAGGACUCCACUCAAACUUCCAGUUGGAGGGCUUGAGUAAUUUAACAAACAUAUUCUAAAAUGUAUGUGGAAGAAAAAUAUUUGUAAAUGCCAACUGAACUUUUGAAAAGGAGAGCAGAGGACUUCUGCUGGCAGAUACCAGGGCACACGCCAACUUCAGCAAUCAGAGCGGUGUGGUGACAGAGGCCCAGAAGAGAGCUCAGAGGUAACUCCAAGUCUAGAGGAAGGGGACAUGUGAUAAAGGUGGCACCACAUAUCAGUGGGGACUGUUCAGAAGAUGAUGUUGGAAAGCCAGCCCUAAAAUGGAGGAAUAGGAAUAUGGAUUCCUAACUGAGCCCCUAGGAAAAGUAGACUCCAAAUGGACUAAAUAUUUGAAAGCAAAAGGUAGUUGCCAUUUGUUUAAUAGGAGAAAAAAUGAAUAAUCUCCAGGGCCAGGGUGGCCGUGGGGUUCUUAAACAGGAUCCAGAAAGCACAAACCUCAAGACUAAAAUGUAUGAACUUGAAUGCAUUAAUGAUUAUGGAUUAAGGAUUUCUGUUAAAUAAAUCCAUCAUGGCAAGGGU
rnacentral:lncRNA from 1 species